AAGCAGGGGAUCCCUCAAAGUGACCUAUAAUUGGAGUUGGCCUUUAAAUGGUGAAAUCAGUUGAUAGAGGAGAUCUAUUGCACAGAGCAGAAAAACUGAAGGAGACAAUGAAGAAAAAUGGGAUGGUAAAACGUGUGGAAUCUCAUGCCAAUACGAAGUUAGUUAAGUAAUGUAUCUUCUGAAGAAUUGGGAAAUGAUGAAGAUAAAUUGAAAAAGGUUUUGACUCCCGUUGCUCCAGUGUCAUAAACACAUCUCAGUGAGCUCUCAGCAUCGUGUGGUUACCUCACUGGAAGUCAUAUUUUCUUGUGAUUUUCUGGGCAGGACCAGAAUGCAUAUGGACUUCCAGGCAUCCUGGUUGCUGUUACAAGAGAGACAAAAAUCAAAAAAGAAGAGAUGAAUACUUGUUACUGAUGGCUAAUAGGACUGAUCCAUGACCUGAGCUUGUGGCUUCUACAGUAGUACAAAUAAAACAUGAUAAUUGUGUGUGAAGAAAGGCUGGCAGCUUUGCAAAGGAAAUAAGAAAGGAUUCUUAUUUCUGAACGUCUUUCCAGAUGAGUUCUUGGAGCCUGGAAUAUUCAUCUCCUUGCAGACAGCAGUUUUUCUCUCCAGCAGUGACCUCCCAAAGAAAUUCCGUCACAGAGAAGACAUUUCUGUGGGGAAAAGGAGGAAUGUGAACUGGUGUAUCCUGAUAGGUUGCUGCUACAGGAUUGUUAUUAGCAGGAUGUCUAAGCCUCUGUGCUGGCAGUUCGUGGUCUUGUUCUCCUUCAGAACAUCUUUGGCUUAAAGAAUAAUUUUUUUGACCAUGGCAGGAAGGCUAAAAGUGAAGGGAACUGGUGUUUAUAAUUAAAAAAAAAAAA
ensembl:lncRNA